GGAGUACAGCUUCACUGAAAAAAUCAUAUCAAAGGCAGAAAUAAGUUACAGAAUGAAGACAAUUGUUUUUGUUUUAACUGUGAGUCUGUUUGUACACGCAUGUACCGGAUGUUCAUCAUGGAAUCAGAACAAACCGUGUCACUGCGCAUGUGAAGACACCAACGAAUCCUGUAGAAAUGGAUGUUACUUAAUGUGCUAUCGUCAAAGGUGCAGAAGCACCGAUAUAAUUGCACAAAGGAGAUGUUACGAUCAAUGUUUUAGUACUUUCAGUACCUGCUACAACCGUUGCUAACCAUAGGGCACAUUAAUCAAUUCCAUUAAUGUGUUUGAAGCAACUGAAAUGGACAUUAUUUAAAGGAUAUGCCAAAUCU
rnacentral:sRNA from 1 species